rnacentral:rRNA from 1 species
GACGAACGCUGGCGGCGUGCUUAACACAUGCAAGUCGAACGGAAAGGCCCUGCUUUUGUGGGGUGCUCGAGUGGCGAACGGGUGAGUAACACGUGAGUAACCUGCCCUUGACUUUGGGAUAACUUCAGGAAACUGGGGCUAAUACCGGAUAGGAGCUCCUGCUGCAUGGUGGGGGUUGGAAAGUUUCGGCGGUUGGGGAUGGACUCGCGGCUUAUCAGCUUGUUGGUGGGGUAGUGGCUUACCAAGGCUUUGACGGGUAGCCGGCCUGAGAGGGUGACCGGCGACAUUGGGACUGAGAGACGGCCCAGACUCCUACGGGAGGCAGCAGUGGGGAAUAUUGCACAAUGGGCGGAAGCCUGAUGCAGCAACGCCGCGUGCGGGAUGACGGCCUUCGGGUUGUAAGCCGCUUUCGCCUGUGACGAAGCGUGAGUGACGGUAAUGGGUAAAGAAGCACCGGCUAACUACGUG